GGGCCAAUGAGGAAUGUUAUAUAAAUAUCCUGGAAUUACCGUCUGAAUCAUGUUAUGAAUUGAGAUCGACUAUCUGAGGCCUUAU